rnacentral:tRNA from 1 species
GCUUUCAUGGUGUAGUGGUCAGCACGCUCGACGCGUAUUCGAGAGGUCAGUGGUUCGAGUCCCGGCGAGGGUA